AGCUCUGUUGGAGUCACACCAAUAUAGCAAGAGCUGGUGCCAGGGCCUGCAGGCACAGUGGGAUCCAGCAGCCAGAAAUCUGUGGUGAGAAAGGUGGCAGAGCCACCCAGGAGCACCACGGUUUGGUCCUUUGGUCAGAUUAUGGUAGAGCCUUGAAAGACGAGGUUGGGUUCUCAAUCUCCAUUUAACCUGGGAAAGCCCACUUGGCAAAGACUGCUGUAGGAGGGUGAGCGAGUUACAGCCUGGCCCCAGCCCGCCCUGGCAGGUGCAGCGGAUAGGAGAUUUCUGAGGCUGUGAGAUGGGAGUUGGAUGCUGGAGGAAUCCUCUGUUGCUGUUGGCUGCUCUCGUCCUGGCAGCCAGGCUGGGUCACUUUCAAAGGUGGGAAGGCUUCCAGGAGAAGUCCACGAGCAUGAAAAACAUGAAUUCAACCCUCAAGUUCUUCAUUGAAACCUACAACAAUGCUAGCAAUGACACCUACUUAUUUCAAGUUGACAAGCUACUUCGAAGUCAGAUGCAGCUGACGACUGGAGUGGAGUAUAUGGUCACUGUGAAGAUUAGCCGGACCAAAUGUGAGAGGAAUGGCACAAGGAACCAUUCAUGCCCCAUUCAAAACAAAAAAAAGCUGAAAAAGAGUUUCAUUUGUGAUUUUUUGGUGUACACUGUGCCCUGGAUGAACUACUACCAACUCUGGAGCAACUCCUGUCUCGAGGCUUGAAUGGAAGCUCAGCAGAGACUGAGUGCCACAGAUUUUCCCUGGAGUGCACACAUGGGGAGCCUCUGCUUAGCAUGUGUCCAAACUUCAGACUUCCAGAAGAAAAGCAGGAUGAGGACAGAUGUGACGCAGUGAGCUGCUGGCAGCGCCCUUGAGACUACAUGAAGGAAGUGGAGUGAAGAGAUGAAAUUGGUGAUAUUGUUCAAAAUCCUGAAUCAAACUGUUGGCUGGGUGGAGGGGAGAGUUGCUUAUUCCCCACUGCUGAUAUGGCACCCAUGAAAAAGGAUCCCCUUUAACAUGGCAUUCCUGGUUUCUCUCUAUCCUUAGUCAUAUCUCUCCUGGAGGAAUUAUUCUGAUUGUUCUAUCUGGGAAGAAUAAUGUAGGCAUGGUAGUCUCCUUCCUCCUCCUUCCCACACAGGCAGUUUCCUUGGUAACUCUAGAAGAGGAAGUUUUCUCUGAAGAAACCUGCUCUGGUCCAAUUUUGCUGAUGCUGGGGGUGUAAGUCUAACGUUAGAGUUUCGUAUUAGAAAGUGCACUUUCUUGCAAAAAUAAUGCAUAUCUCCCGACUUAAUCCUUGUCAGUGACAAAGACGCUCAUCUUAAAAAAAAAUACGUGUAUUAUUUCUCCUUAUUCAACACAUUAUGCAAGAAAAGAGGUAGUCCUCAUUGGGCCCCUAAGAGAUGGCAUUGUAGGCCAUACUUACAAACAUGUCUUGUUUGAUCAGGUAAAUAACUUAGAACUUCUUCCUUCCUUCUCUUCCUCCUCCUCCUCCUCCUCCUCCUCUCCUCAUUUUUUACUUACUGUAAAGUCUGAAGACUCCUACUUGAUAUGAGGAUGGGGUUGAAGUUCUCCUAUCACGCAGGUAUAGGCUAUAAGGCCAGGAAUUAUCUAUGUCACUUCAUUAGAAUCCUAAAACUAUCCUAGCUCAGAAUACCUUCAGAUUACAUUAUUAUGAGCUGAAGAGUUUAGGGGAAAAGUGGACUAAUAAACAUUAAGAGUGUUGAGAUAAUAGUUUGACAAACAUUUAUUUUCUAUAUUGAGACUUACUGCUUAUUGCAUGAUAUUUUAAUGUAUGAUUGCUGAUAUGUGCUUCAGGACACCUAGCCAUCGGUGCAGUUUUUGUUCAGAAUUUUGUA